rnacentral:rRNA from 1 species
GACGAACGCUGGCGGCGUGCUUAACACAUGCCAGUCGAACGGAAAGGCCUUUUCGGAGGUACUCGAGUGGCGAACGGGUGAGUAACACGUGGGUGAUCUGCCCUGCACUCUGGGAUAAGCCUGGGAAACUGGGUCUAAUACCGGAUAGGACCGCACUUUAGUGUGUGUGGUGGGAAGUUUUUUCGGUGUAGGAUGAGCCCGCGGCCUAUCAGCUUGUUGGUGGGGUAAUGGCCUACCAAGGCGGCGACGGGUAGCCGGACUGAGAGGUUGGUCGGCCACAUUGGGACUGAGAUACGGCCCAGACUCCUACGGGAGGCAGCAGGGGGGAAUAUUGCACAAUGGGCGCAAGCCUGAUGCAGCGACGCCGCGUGGGGGAUGACGGCCUUCGGGUUGUAAACUCCUUUCGCCAGGGACGAAGCGUUUUGUGACGGUACCUGGAGAAGAAGCACCGGCUAACUACGUG